rnacentral:rRNA from 1 species
GUGGGGAAUUUUGGACAAUGGACGCAAGUCUGAUCCAGCCAUUCCGCGUGCAGGACGAAGGCCUUCGGGUUGUAAACUGCUUUUGUACAGAACGAAAAGGUCUCUAUUAAUACUAGGGGCUCAUGACGGUACUGUAAGAAUAAGCACCGGCUAACUACGUGCCAGCAGCCGCGGUAAUACGUAGGGUGCAAGCGUUAAUCGGAAUUACUGGGCGUAAAGCGUGCGCAGGCGGUUAUGUAAGACAGAGGUGAAAUCCCCGGGCUCAACCUGGGAACUGCCUUUGUGACUGCAUAGCUGGAGUGCGGCAGAGGGGGAUGGAAUUCCGCGUGUAGCAGUGAAAUGCGCAGAUAUGCGGAGGAACACCGAUGGCGAAGGCAAUCCCCUGGGCCUGCACUGACGCUCAUGCACGAAAGCGUGGGGAGCAAACAGGAUUAGAUACCCUGGUAGUCCACGCCCUAAACGAUGUCAACUGGUUGUUGGGUCUUCACUGACUCAGUAACGAAGCUAACGCGUGAAGUUGAC